AUUGAACGCUGGCGGCAUGCUUUACACAUGCAAGUCGAACGGUAACAGGCCGCAAGGUGCUGACGAGUGGCGAACGGGUGAGUAAUGCAUCGGAACGUGCCCAGUCGUGGGGGAUAACGCAGCGCAAGCUGUGCUAAUACCGCAUACGAUCUAUGGAUGAAAGCGGGGGACCGUAAGGCCUCGCGCGAUUGGAGCGGCCGAUGUCAGAUUAGGUAGUUGGUGGGGUAAAGGCCCACCAAGCCAACGAUCUGUAGCUGAUCUGAGAGGACGACCAGCCACACUGGGACUGAGACACGGCCCAGACUCCUACGGGAGGCAGCAGUGGGGAAUUUUGGACAAUGGGCGCAAGCCUGAUCCAGCAAUGCCGCGUGCAGGAAGAAGGCCUUCGGGUUGUAAACUGCUUUUGUACGGAACGAAAAGGUCUGGGUUAAUACCCUGGGCCGAUGACGGUACCGUAAGAAUAAGCACCGGCUAACUACGUGCCAGCAGCCGCGGUAA
rnacentral:rRNA from 1 species